UACGUAGGGGGCAAGCGUUGUCCGGAUUUAUUGGGCGUAAAGAGCGUGUAGGCGGCCAGGCAGGUCUGUUGUGAAAACUGGAGGCUCAACUUCCAGAGGUCGACAGAAACCGCUUGGCUAGAGUCCGGAAGAGGAGAGUGGAAUUCCUGGUGUAGCGGUGAAAUGCGCAGAUAUCAGGAAGAACACCGAUGGCGAAGGCAGCUCUCUGGGACGGUACUGACGCUGAGACGCGAAAGCGUGGGGAGCGAACAGG
rnacentral:rRNA from 1 species